rnacentral:misc_RNA from 1 species
GAAAAUUUACACGCCUCACCCUCUAAGCAUCUUCCCUUGAGAUAAUGGCGGCAAUAUUUCACGACUUUUGGUUUCACCACUGGUGGAAGCUUCAGCCUUUUAACUCCAAGCUUUAUUCUCUCUUCAGCUCGUUUACUUCUCUGCUUAGCCUUUUUCCUUGCUUUGCUUUCCUUGGUUAAAGGACCUCGCUUCUUUUCCUUUUUACCAAUAUUCUCAUUCUCAGCAGCAACUUUUGAGUGUUUUCUUUUUUUUGCAUUUACACCGGAGGUUGAGUCAAAUUGAGAACCAGCAGGAUGAUCUAACUUCAUGUCUCCACCAACUUGCUUAGCAUCAUUUUCACUAUCUAAAAUGGUGUCAUACACACAAACCUUUCUGGUCUCGACAUCCUUUGAGCGGAAAACCUUUUCCACAUUAUCUUGCGGCUCUUCACUAAACUUUCUUAUGAACUCUCCCCCAACAAAGGUGUUAUCCUCAUCAACUGCAUCAAUGGACGAAGAGGCAUAAGCAUCCUUCCUCUGUGGUGCAUCAACAUGAACAUCAAAAGCAAACCCUUCUCUACCAGAAAUGUCAGCAGGAGACUCAUCUGCUCCAUCCUUCUUCUCAUUUCCAAAACGUUUAAGGAUGUCAUAAUCUGAUUCAUCGAAAACCAUAAAAUCUCCAAAAGCUUCCCCUUCCUCCAUCUCUUCACCCAUAGGAACAUGGACAGACGACUCUGCUGCUCCAGCAGAAGAUAUCAAUGUUUCCAACUCCACCUCUUUUACACGCAAUCCAUGCUUCAUUUCUUCCGACAAAUGUGUCUCAGAAACAUCCAUUUUCUCUCCAGAGAACUCUGCAGGUUGAGAUAAAUCAGCAAUUGCAUCCGCACCAAAACAUGAUUCUAUUGCUGCACUGACAUCAUCAAUACUGGAGUCUUUGUCCAAUUCUACCGGUCUGAUAAGAUCAGGCUCCUUCACCUCUGAUUCAUGAGUGCUACACCUAUUCCCAGGUUCCUUGACCAUUUGAUAGUUACAACCAAGAGUUUUGUGUACCAAACCAUUCGUAUCAAUGAUAUCGUUUGUUAUGAAAUCACCUCUAUCUCCUUCUACUGCAUUACUUGUAUGAUUUGACAGAUCUGAAUCCACUUGCAUUCGUGCACGAGUAAAAUCUCCAUAUCCAUAAAGAGAGUUCCCUUCAUUUCUAUCACCAGAACCCGGUUGCACUACCAGAUUGUUACACUCGUUAUGAGCAGGACCAGUACCUAACAAAUUCUCAGACCUGAUGAGAUGAUGAUCAACUGAUUUACCGACUUCAUUUUCUUUUCCCAGUUUACUGCUGUCAUUGUCAUCUAGUUUUUGUUUAUCAGUGGUUGAGUCGGUGCUGCGACAAUCAGAUAGAAUCUGGAGCAGUGUACUGUAGGUUUUGCUCAUGAGUAGCCGGCGGCGAGGAGGUAAAGGAUAGAGGUUUUGCAAGGGUUUUAGGGCGCCGAUUUGCG